rnacentral:rRNA from 1 species
UGGGGAAUUUUGGACAAUGGGCGAAAGCCUGAUCCAGCAAUGCCGCGUGUGUGAAGAAGGCCUUCGGGUUGUAAAGCACUUUUGUCCGGAAAGAAAUCCUUGGCUCUAAUACAGUCGGGGGAUGACGGUACCGGAAGAAUAAGCACCGGCUAACUACGUGUCAGCAGCCGCGGUAAUACGUAGGGUGCAAGCGUUAAUCGGAAUUACUGGGCGUAAAGCGUGCGCAGGCGGUUUGCUAAGACCGAUGUGAAAUCCCCGGGCUCAACCUGGGAACUGCAUUGGUGACUGGCAGGCUAGAGUAUGGCAGAGGAGGGUAGAAUUCCACGUGUAGCAGUGAAAUGCGUAGAGAUGUGGAGGAAUACCGAUGGCGAAGGCAGCCCCCUGGGCCAAUACUGACGCUCAUGCACGAAAGCGUGGGGAGCAAACAGGAUUAGAUACCCUGGUAGUCCACGCCCUAAACGAUGUCAACUAGUUGUUGGGGAUUCAUUUCCUUAGUAACGUAGCUAACGCGUGAAGUUGACCGCCUGGGGAGUACGGUCGCAAGAUUAAAACUCAAAUGAAUUGACGGGGUCAUAGCUGUUUCCU